CCCCUUGCCGGGCGCACAGCAACACCCUAUAUGCAUCGGUGCCGGAGGGCUUGCCCUUGGCUAUGGCGAUAAACGGUAAGUGGAAUAAUCGUUACGGACCCGGGGGCAGUGCCCGGCGUCUCCACCAUUCCUUCCCGAGGGCUCUGCCCGACGGAAAGUCAGGGGACGAAACAGGCUCGACGUGCGUGGUAAAGACUUAUCUUUUGCCCGGCAUUGUACCGCCGUUAUCGGGCUAAAUCACAAGUGCCAAUGAUAACACAAAGGUGCUCGCUGUCGCUGCAUAAGCGAUAAGCGCGGUUCGGGAGGGCACCGGGCAACAGAAGCCCUCCCACU
rnacentral:tmRNA from 1 species